AGCGGCGGACGGGUGAGUAAUGCCUAGGAAUCUGCCUGGUAGUGGGGGAUAACGCUUGGAAACGGACGCUAAUACCGCAUACGUCCUACGGGAGAAAGCAGGGGACCUUCGGGCCUUGCGCUAUCAGAUGAGCCUAGGUCGGAUUAGCUAGUUGGUGAGGUAAUGGCUCACCAAGGCGACGAUCCGUAACUGGUCUGAGAGGAUGAUCAGUCACACUGGAACUGAGACACGGUCCAGACUCCUACGGGAGGCAGCAGUGGGGAAUAUUGGACAAUGGGCGAAAGCCUGAUCCAGCCAUGCCGCGUGUGUGAAGAAGGUCUUCGGAUUGUAAAGCACUUUAAGUUGGGAGGAAGGGCAUUAAC
rnacentral:rRNA from 1 species